CCUACGGGUGGCAGCAGUGAGGAAUAUUGGUCAAUGGACGAGAGUCUGAACCAGCCAAGUAGCGUGAAGGAUGACUGCCCUAUGGGUUGUAAACUUCUUUUAUAUGGGAAUAAAAUGUUCCACGUGUGGGAUUUUGUAUGUACCAUAUGAAUAAGGAUCGGCUAACUCCGUGCCAGCAGCCGCGGUAAUACGGAGGAUCCGAGCGUUAUCCGGAUUUAUUGGGUGUAAAGGGAGCGUAGGUGGAUUGUUAAGUCAGUUGUGAAAGUUUGCGGCUCAACCGUAAAAUUGCAGUUGAAACUGGCGUUCUUGAGUGGGCGAGAGGUAGGCGGAAUGCGUGGUGUAGCGGUGAAAUGCAUAGAUAUCACGCAGAACUCCGAUUGCGAAGGCAGCAUACCGGACCCCAACUGACGCUGAGGCACGAAAGCGUGGGUAUCAAACAGGAUUAGAUACCCUGGUAGUC
rnacentral:rRNA from 1 species